rnacentral:rRNA from 1 species
AUUGAACGCUGGCGGCAUGCCUUACACAUGCAAGUCGAACGGCAGCACGGGAGCAAUCCUGGUGGCGAGUGGCGAACGGGUGAGUAAUAUAUCGGAACGUACCCUAGAGUGGGGGAUAACGCAGCGAAAGUUGCGCUAAUACCGCAUACGAUCUACGGAUGAAAGCGGGGGAUCGCAAGACCUCGCGCGAUUGGAGCGGCCGAUAUCAGAUUAGGUAGUUGGUGAGGUAAAGGCUCACCAAGCCAACGAUCUGUAGCUGGUCUGAGAGGACGACCAGCCACACUGGAACUGAGACACGGUCCAGACUCCUACGGGAGGCAGCAGUGGGGAAUUUUGGACAAUGGACGCAAGUCUGAUCCAGCCAUUCCGCGUGCAGGAUGAAGGCCCUCGGGUUGUAAACUGCUUUUGUACGGAACGAAAAGGUUUGUCUUAAUACGAUGAGCUCAUGACGGUACCGUAAGAAUAAGCACCGGCUAACUACGUG